UACGUAGGGUGCAAGCGUUAUCCGGAAUCACUGGGCGUAAAGGGUGCGUAGGCGGGUUUUUAAGUCAGGGGUGAAAUCCUGGAGCUCAACUCCAGAACUGCCUUUGAUACUGAAGAUCUUGAGUCCGGGAGAGGUGAGUGGAACUGCGAGUGUAGAGGUGAAAUUCGUAGAUAUUCGCAAGAACACCAGUGGCGAAGGCGGCUCACUGGCCCGGUACUGACGCUGAGGCACGAAAGCGUGGGGAGCAAGCAGG
rnacentral:rRNA from 1 species